GUUCUGUUAUGGUCUUCUCCCAGAAGCUGUGUCAGUCUUGCCACUUUCGUAACUAAAAGGAGGAAAGCAGGUCCUCAGGGUCACAGGCAUGGGUGGAAAAGCCUGUGACCACCAGGAUAUGUGUGCAGAGCUGAUGACCUUUGAGGUGGAAAUUGUCUUGCUGGCUCUGCCUCACCAUGAGGCUGAAAAACAGCAUCUUGACAACAGCACAACUCUCCAGCCAUGGUGUGCUGCUGAUAGAGCUGGCUGCUGCCUAUUCAAGGCUCAGCUUCUUGGGAAUUAAGAGAGAGAAAUAUAUUUGUCAUCCUCUAGUCCUAUAGCAAGAAGUUUUGAAGAGCUAUUUAUCAUCAGUGAAAUUCCACUAAAGGCAUGGAUACACCUGGAGAUGAUCACAACCCCCUUAAUAUACCAGAGCAGGAAAGUGGAAUUGGACUGGAAGAAGAUGAGUGAAUGGAGAACAGAAACUUAUCAAAUGUUAUGAAGUCUUGAAGGACAGAAGAUGGACAAAAGCAAUGGGUGACUGUAAAAAAAUAAAUCCUGGUUGGAAAAGGA